rnacentral:rRNA from 1 species
UACGUAGGGUCCGAGCGUUGUCCGGAUUUAUUGGGCGUAAAGAGCUCGUAGGCGGUUCCGUAAGUCAGAUGCGAAAACUCAGGGCUCAACCCGGAGACGCCAUCUGAUACUGCGGUGACUGGAGUCUGGUAGGGGAACACGGAAUUCCUGGUGUAGCGGUGAAAUGCGCAGAUAUCAGGAGGAACACCGAUGGCGAAGGCAGUGUUCUGGGCCAGUACUGACGCUGAGGAGCGAAAGCGUGGGGAGCAAACAGG